CGGAUAGGGGAGCUUCUAGGAAGGAUUAAUAUGCAAAAAUAAUGUUGCUAACACUUAUACAUAUUUUUAAAAAUAUUCCCGAUUAAAAAAUCGGCAUGAUUCCGAUUAGUUUGGCGGUCGGGUAAAAAACACGAAUUUCGGUAUAUUUCGGUUUGUAUAAGUUAACACAUUAGUAUGUCAGUCUGCCCACUGCGUUCUUAGACCUACUCCACGCGAGCCAGUAAGCGCAUUAAUAGUCCGCGUCCGUAUUUUUCCAUCAACUGGCAAACUCUUCGCUACAACAACAUCAGCGCGGUAGCAGCGAUUCAUCUGUUGUCUAAACAACAACAACAGCGUCAAGUGCAGUAGCAUUCGGUUAUUACCACCAAUUCGGACAGGUCGCCGCCCAAACAUGGAGAAUACUUAGGAAAAUUCUGGAAAAUUUUCCGAAAAAAAAUAUGAAGAAAAUAAAUUUUCAAAUACGAUUUUAAAAAGGAAAUAAAAACGAACAUGAUUUUAAAUGCUGUAUUGCCAGUAGAUGGCGAAAGGAGAAUACUUAAGAAAAUUCUGGAAAAUUUUCCGAAAAAAAAAUUAUGAAGAAAAUAAAUUUUCAAAUACGAUUUUAAA